CCCGCAGUUCCUGGUCCCCACGGCCCUCGGCGUCCUCUCCUACAACCCCGGCGUCUCCUAGCUGCUACCAGUCCCGACCCGGCUGAGGCUCAGACUCGCGCAGCCCACCCAGGCGGCGGCGGAGGCGGCGAGGACCCCAAGGUUACCGCCAGGCCCGACCAGGAACUUCCGGCGCAGCUGACAGUGGCGCGAGAGCGCUUCCGCCGGCGCCACUCCGCCCCCUCCCCCCGCGCGCCCGGUUUCCUAAUGCAAAUCUCCCCGCCGCAGCCAAGCGCUCCGUGGACCUGGGUGCGUGGUUGCCCACCGCGGAAAAGGGGAAUCCGGAAAAGGGGAUCCCGGAUGUUUUCAAAUUUCUCAAGAUGAGAUGCAUCUCGGAACACACUUUGGAAUUUUGGAGCACUCUGUACACCAGUUUCCUUCGCCUCCUCUCUGCCCUCCAAGUCAAACACAGAAUCUAGGAAUUUUAUUUCUAUUUUACAGGAAACAGAUCUUUCUAACUUUGGAAGAUUGCCACAGAGUACUGCUAGUGUUGUCACUAACAUGCUACUGAACAGCAUACUGAAAGCCACUCUAAAGCAGGCGCCUAGAGCUGGAGACAGUGGAGUGCUGAGGAGGAGAGCGGCUCUGUUGAGGGCAGGGGAAAACAAGGAGCCAUUUGAGUCAAGAGGCCCAGGAGUUUCUGGAAACUCACAAGGAAUCUGGCAGCACAGUUCCCAAGAGGUCUGACCCAGGAGGAUCAGAAAAACUCUGUGGUUCUCAGAGGGAAAUCCCCAACCCUGGGAGUCCAGAAGCUGCAGGCUCUUUCCAGAAGGGAGAAGUUCCUGCCAAGGCCCUUCGAGACUAAGCCUGUAGGUGAGUAACAACAUGGCAGGCGGGGUGGGGACAAGGCUGAAUGGGAUUCUAUGUCUCAAACAGAAAACAUCCUGAACAUUCCAAACAUUCCAAAUGAGCUUUUUAAUUGAAAAAUUUCAAUGAAGUCACUCCUCAAGAAAUACUUUGUCAGCACAGGAGAAAAUGACUUCUCGAUAAAACUUUGGAAGAAAUUAUA
rnacentral:lncRNA from 1 species